CCUACGGGAGGCAGCAGUGAGGAAUAUUGGUCAAUGGACGGAAGUCUGAACCAGCCAAGUAGCGUGAAGGAUGACUGCCCUACGGGUUGUAAACUUCUUUUAUAAAGGAGUAAAGUGAGGCACGUGUGCCUUUUUGUAUUUACUUUAUGAAUAAGGCUCGGCUAACUCCGUUCCAGCAACCGCGGUAAUACGGAGGAUCCGAGCGUUAUCCGGAUUUAUUUGGUUUAAAGGGAUCGUAGGCGGACGGUUAAGUCAGCGGUAAAAGUCCGGGGCUCAACCCCGGUGAGCCGUUGAAACUGGCUGUCUUGAGAUGUCGAGAGGUAUGUGGAAUGCGCAGUGUAGCGGUGAAAUGCUUAGAUAUUGCGCAGAACUCCGAUUGCGAAGGCAGCAUACCGGCGGCGAUCUGACGCUGAGGCACGAAAGCGUGGGUAUCGAACAGGAUUAGAUACCCCAGUAGUC
rnacentral:rRNA from 1 species